rnacentral:rRNA from 1 species
UACAGAGGUCUCAACCGUUGUUCGGAUUCAUUGGGCGUAAAGGGUGCGUAGGCGGUCGUGCAAGUCGGAUGUGAAAUCUCGGGGCUCAACCCUGAAACUGCAUUCGAUACUGCGCUGCUAGAGUGCUGGAGGGGAGACUGGAAUUUAUGGUGUAGCAGUGAAAUGCGUAGAUAUCGUAAGGAAGACCAGUGGCGAAGGCGAGUCUCUGGACAGCAACUGACGCUGAGGCACGAAGGCCAGGGGAGCAAACGGG